GAACAUGGAACCUUGUAGAAGGAAGAUCGGCUUUCGUAAAAAAUCUAAAACAAAAUGCUCAUCUUGUUAAAUGGUCACCCAAUGGAGAAUCAUAUGUGGUGGUUACAGCAAAUAAAGUGGAUAUAUACCAACUUGCAACUGCUUCUGUCUCUGGCACCAUCGUUACAGAAAGGAGAGUGUCUUCAGUAAGAUUUAUUACAGAUUGCAUACUUGCCAUUGCUGGAGAUGAAGAAUUUGUACGGUUCUUUGACUGUGAAUCACAGGAAUGUCUUUGUGAAUUUAAAG